UUCUUAUCUAGAGUGGCUGAGGAACUGGUCCAAUGAAGCCCGGCAACCUGCAAAGCAAGGUGCCAAUUCCAGCAAAAUGACCUUCAUUUUGGGAGAUAAGGU
rfam:Bacillus vireti LMG 21834 contig15, whole genome shotgun sequence.